AGAAUCAACGCUGGCGGCGUGCCUAACACAUGCAAGUCGCACGAGAAAGGGUAGCAAUACCUGAGUAAAGUGGCGCACGGGUGAGUAACACGUGAAUUAUCUACCUCCGAGUGGGGAAUAACUGAGAGAAAUCUUAGCUAAUACCGCAUAACACUUACGAGUCAAAGCAGCAAUGCGCUUGGAGAGGAGUUCGCGGCCGAUUAGUUAGUUGGCGGGGUAAUGGCCCACCAAGACGAUGAUCGGUAUCCGGCCUGAGAGGGCGCACGGACACACUGGAACUGAAACACGGUCCAGACUCCUACGGGAGGCAGCAGUGGGGAAUUUUGCGCAAUGGGGGAAACCCUGACGCAGCAACGCCGCGUGGAGGAUGAAAUAUCUUGGUAUGUAAACUCCUUUCGAUGGGGAAGAUUAUGACGGUACCAUAGAAGAAGCCCGGCUAACUUCGCGCAGCAGCCGC
rnacentral:rRNA from 1 species